rnacentral:piRNA from 1 species
UUGCUUUGUUAAAGAGAAGCCUGG